UGGGGAAUAUUGCACAAUGGAGGGAACUCUGAUGCAGCGACGCCGCGUGAACGAAGAAGGCUUUCGAGUCGUAAAGUUCUUUUAUAUGGGAAGAUAAUGACGGUACCAUAAGAAAAAGCCCCGGCUAACUACGUGCCAGCAGCAGCGGUAAUACGAAGGGGGCUAGCGUUGUCCGGAAUCACUGGGCGUAAAGGGUUCGCAGGCGGUAACGAAAGUAAGGUGUAAAAGGCAGUAGCUUAACUACUGUAAGCAUUUGAAACUGCAUAUCUUGAGAAGAGUAGAGGUAAGGGGAAUUUUUAGUGUAGCGGUGAAAUGCGUAGAGAUUAAAAAGAAUACCGGUGGCGAAGGCGACUUACUGGGCUAAUUCUGACGCUGAGGAACGAAAGCGUGGGUAGCAAACAGG
rnacentral:rRNA from 1 species